GGGUGGCGAGUGGCGAACGGGUGAGUAAUGCGCAGGAAUAUGCCUUGAAGAGGGGGAUAACUUGGGGAAACUCAAGCUAAUACCGCAUACGCUCUACGGAGCAAAGCUGGGGACCUUCGGGCCUGGCACUUUGAGAAUAGCCUGCGUCCGAUUAGCUAGUUGGUAGGGUAAAGGCCUACCAAGGCGACGAUCGGUAGCUGGUCUGAGAGGAUGAACAGCCACACUGGGACUGAGACACGGCCCAGACUCC
rnacentral:rRNA from 1 species